GGCUCACAAUUAAGGCUUUUAGCCCCUAACACAGUAGACAGUAGCAGCAAGAAGAAAAUAAGAAAUUGGCUUGCUUAGUGUCAUCAUCUUGCUCAAACACCGGAUCUGGCCAUUGCAGAGAGAAAUAACUGACUUUUGAUUUGUUUUCCACGUAGAUGAAAAACUGUCUGCAUGGCUCUUUCCUGGGCCAUAGUUUAGAACCUUGGAAUUCUGGGCAGGGGCAAGGAGAGAACAUGGGAGUUGCUGACAGUGACUUAAAACCCUCAGCUGAACAGGAUGGAAGAGAUCAAUACUGCACUGGGAGCUGGUGCUUGCUUUUCCCCACUUCAGGAAAGGUUCAUGCUACUGCAGCAGCUCUUCCAAGUCAGGCUGUCACUGCCCGACUGUGCCAGAGCUGCUGCAGGCUCCUUUUCAGCCCUAUGGAUUAGGAUAUCAGUUUUUUAACCACAAAGAGUUUUUCUCCUGUGUCUCGUCAUGAAUUGAUGCAAUAGAUCUGUAACUGCCUCAAGCAGCUGCUGCUGUGCCUGGUUUUCUGUGCAGGCUUGGGCUCUGAAACAAAAGGAUGGGGAAAGAAAAGAAGCUAAAAACUCUGGUUUGCUAAAGUAGCACCAAAUCAACAAGGAAGCUGCAUUUCAGCCUGGAUUAUUAUUUAGAGCCAUUUGUAAUCAGGAUUCUCUUACAGCAGCUCAAGCCAGCAGUUUGGCCUGUGUUAGAUGUGUAUGUACCAAUUAGUUUGUAUUAGGCUUAACCAUGGAGAAGUUCAUACAAUAGCCCUGAUGCAGUAAAGGCUGAAUCAAUAUGAAAUAGAGGUUGUUCCUGUAAAGAUUCAGGAAUGGAAACUUUACCACCACCACCACACCUACUUUCAGAACUGACACAUCACAAAGAAGUUGAGAAAUACCUUUCUGGUAAGUGGUUGUCUCAAACGAAAAAAAUUAAUACUUUAAAGGUAUCUCCUUGUUUUAACCCCUUCAAGUGAGAGAGAGCUUUGCACCUGCCUCAGGGGAGAUGGGGAGAUUGCAAUAGAAAAGCAGGGGAGAUACGGGGCUUCCCCUUGAGCCUUGCUGCAGUGUGAGCAGCAGGGCUGGGAGGCUGCUGGGGACCACCAGCCCAAAAAAGUAGAGACUGAGUUUUAGGAGGGGUCCUAUUUUCAUCCUUAUUGUUUAAUCCAGGGGUCCCAUUGCAUGUUGGUAGGGGUGAUUGUUAUGAUCCCUUAGUGCUGUCUUGUGUGUUCUAACAGCAAAGUGAAAAUAUUUGGGCAGGGUGAGGGUGCAAGAACUGUUCUGUGCAAAGGGAGGAUGCACCUGGGGAAACAGCAGCAGUGUUGUGCUUAUGGGGACUGCUGGACUGUCUGGAGACUUUAAAUGUCAACAUGAUCAGUACUAGCUUCUUCUUACUUUCUUUUCCAGGCACAGUUUGAAGCUAACAUGCAUGACCCUGAGGGUGAGAAAUAGAUGGUAUUUGUUGGGACAACCACAUCUCCUCCGCUGGUGUGGUUCAGAAGGGAAGCUCUUACAUACUAUUAACUUCACAGUGAAAUUGAGAUAGUUUUGAUCCUACUUCUACAUAGACUUAGCUCAUGCUGUGCCCACAUCAGCUGAGAGCUGUUACAUGGGAUCUGACUUUUCCUCCACAUCCACUGAACCUUCAACCCACGCCAAGGACUGAGGCUGUACACACCCAGCCCAGGUUUUCCUUUGCAGUGCCACCCCCAGUUAAUGGGGUGCAAAGUGCCAGUGCUCCACAUCUCUUCAUGCACUGUUCCUUUUGCUCUAAACCCAAACUUCAUUUUUUCCUGCUGCAUUAUUUUGCAUAGGCAGCAUCUCUCAGGUCUCUGUUGCAUCACUGAGUUUGCUGGUAUUGGGUUUUACUCAAACAAUGUGUUCUGCCACAAAGGAGCAAGUUUGAGCAGGUUAGAGCUGUCCAGCCUGGCCGUGCAGGAACCAGUGACAAAUAAAGCUCCAUAAAUACAUUCUUCUGCCUCUCCC
rnacentral:lncRNA from 1 species